AAAUAUGAAGCAAUCAAUUGCAAUUAGUUUCGACCUAACCCUUAGAUAUAAAUUAUUAUCCAUGUUUU
rnacentral:tRNA from 1 species